GGGGAUGUGAAAGCCGGGAGCAGCCUUGGAUGCAGUGACCAUGAGAUAGUGGAGUUCAGGAACAUGGAAAAAACAAGGUAAUAAGUAGGACUGGAACCCUGGACUUCAGGAGAGCCAAUUUUGACUUCUUCAGUGACCUUCUUGGAGGUAUUCCAUGGAUUAGAACACUGGAAGGAAGGACAUGAGCUGGACGUCACAACCCAUGGACACCUGGGAAGGAUAUGUACCAUCUAGGAAUCGUUCUUGUGGAAAGGGCAAGACAAGAUGCUCUUCUAAGACAACGCGACUAAUACCACCUGGGAUUUCGGGGAGCUCCUGCAGGGGCCCAUCGUGGCUGCCGUCUGCCCAUUCUGAUGGACUCUGUGAGGAUCCAUAUCAGGCUGUGCUGGAGAAGAAAGCCUCCAGCAACUGCCAUGGCACUGGCAAGGCAGGGGCUGUGCUCUCAAUGUGCCUUCUCCAGAUGCUGGGCAUAUGGUCUUGUCCUGAGAGCUCCAAGAUAAUUUGGCUUAGCUCGCUCAGUGAAGGAUGCAGCUGGAGCAGAGAGUGUGGAGAGAGACUUACUGCACUUCCAGAUAACAGCCUUGCUGAGCUUGAUUGAUGGAUGCUGUUUAAUCUGCCAGACAGGCUGAAACUUAAGAAAUGGAGCAGAAACACGCAGCUUGGGCAAACCAUUUGUGUAUAGCAAGGACAUGCACAGUGUCAUUUUAGGCAGCGUUUGUGCUAGGAAGCCACUGUGCACAGACUUCCUCACCAGCACAGCUGGGCACAGAAGAGCUUUGGUCUGUGUGGCAGAGCAUUGUACGUGCUUUGGCCACCUUUGUCUAAGGAUGAGAUUUCUUUCCUCUUCCAAGCCUUUCCCUUUGCAAUUAUAUUACUGCAGCACAAGGCCAUGUACCUAGUCAUAAAAGCAAAUGUUUUUCAGUCGUGCCCCUGAAGUCUUCAGCAAGACCUUCUCAGAAGAUACGCAGAGGAUGGUUGAGUACAAGAGAAGUGUCCAAUAUUAAUUGCUGAGAUGAACUCAGAAGAUGUGGGCUCUGCUCCCUCAGGCUCUUGCUGACUGGUUGCAUGGUGCUGAGCACCUUCCUGGUCAAACCAGUGCCCUCCACACCUGCCUUGGACAUGCACUGCACUCAGUGUUCUCAGUGGAAAUGAUUGUAACAGAAAUAAUCUCUUCCAGGUAGGGUGAUUUACCCCAUGUAGUAAACUGGCUGCAGCUGGAGCACCUUAUUGCUAUUAAAAUCUUCAUCUUCACUUGGCUGUAGCUGUAGAGGCAAACUACACUAUGAUGUAAACAAGACUGGAGCUUGUACAACCUUUAAGACCAAGUGUAGCUAUUCCACUGCAGCUUGCCACUGCAUUGAGCCUGACAGCCUGAUCUGAAAGAACAGUUUUGGGACUUAGCAUAUAAAGAAAAAAAUUGUAGAGGACACAGUUCAAAUGACAACAACAACAACCAAACCUGAAGAAUUCAACACAUUUUUUUUUUACUGAAAGGAGUAUGGAGUUGGUAUAAGACUACUGCAUGUGUGAUAUACUCACCAAGUGUAUUCCAAUUUAACAGAGAGCAGUUAGAUUUGUUUUUCCUCUUAGAGGUGUUAAUAGACUCAAAUGUGGAAGAGGAGACAAACACAAGUUUGGCAAGUUCAGGUGAUGGUAAAUGAAGCAGGUUACGCUAAAGACAACCUCUUCUGUGCUGUUCAACUUUUCUUACACAGCACAGAGUGCACCUGGGUAUUGAGUACAAAACAAUGUAAACGAGCCCUUGCAAACUGUCUGUGCACAAGCUGGGAUAAAUCUCUUACAAGCAGAGGAAAAUACACCAAUGAUUUUGCCUCUGGAUAGAGAUUGCUAGCAGUUUUUGAGAUUUCCCCAGAUUCAGUCCCUGGUGAGAACACAGGUAUGAACAGUGUGUAUAAACAAAAUUUAAAGGUUUCCAUUAAAAGAAGAAACAUAGACUUGACAAAUACCCUAACACACGUGCCAAGGCAUAUAAAAUGCAUCUGAUGCAACAAAUGUUUCAUACCUUCUUCCUAUUUUCUAGAGUCAAUUUAUUUUCAAAUCCUUGCUUUAUACAUGCAGUGGAUGAAUUAAUGACUCUUGCUAUUUGAUGUAAAUUCUUGCCAUAGUUCGCUUCACAAUGGAUUUCCCCUCCUCUAGAGCAGUUGGUUCUGACUGAUGAUCUGUCUAGCUUCGGAGCAGAAAAUCCACAUGCUGAGGAAGCGGAGAUGGAGGAGCAGUCUUUGGAUUUUAGGAAUGGCCCUUUUGGGUCUGGAUCAAAGGCUUCCAGCCAAACAGCAUCAGGAAGCUUUGGCUGCUGCUGCUUCUGCAAUAGUUGUUUCCUGUGAUAGGGAGCAAGGCAUACACAAAGCAUCUGGUGCAUCCCAUCUGUGUGGGAGGGGAAGAAAGUUGCCCCAUGGCUGUCAGGCCAGUAUGCUUUGGCAUACAUGGAGGUGUAAAAAACUUGCUCUUGAAACUUCAGUAUUUUGGGUCUUGCUUAAUCUCUGUGUUCCAAAUUCAGCAGUAUCCUCAGUGAUUGCACUAUGAGUACUGGUAAAUAAAAAUUCUGUAACAGGGGAAACAUGAAAUUUCCAAUCAUUUUGCCAUUUUACAAAAGGGCAAUAAAAUGCUAGUAUCCCAUCUGAAAAAUAUUUAUUGAAUGUAAUGAGGAAGAAACCAGUGGGGAAAUUAAGUAGGGGUCUAUGGAAAUUAUCCUAUAUUCUGAGACAGGGUAAUACAAACUUCUUUACUGAACUUUCAAACCAUCCUGCAGAGUUUAACAGAGAACAGUUUUCUUUAGGUUAUGUUCUGACUUCUGUACUGUGUUCUCCAUUUAGUGGAGAACAUCAUUGUUCUCCAUUUAGUGUUUCUAUUUUUUUUGUUUUUGUUUACAAAGAGAUUGUCUAUAACAGCAUCAAAGCAAGCAGAUCAAGAAAAUAUGAUAUCAAGUGGCCUCUCUUCUCUUUUAAUUGUACUGCAAAAAUCUCCAGGUUCCUGGAACCAUGCUUAGCUCAUGUGGAAGCAGGUAUAAACAGUGAGUUCAAUGGAAACUAUAUGCAUUAUAGUACAAGUCGGUCAUCUUGCUUAUCAAAAAUAACUUUUGAAAUGUCUUAAUAUUGAAGCUUAUAUGGGACUAGGAUGUUUUGACUUUCUCAGUUUUACAUCACUUCUGAAGCAAUCAGUGGCAUCAGGUGACCACUGCUUGAUUCAGGACAGGAAUGCAAACCUGGUCUCCAAUAUCAAAAAAAAGUGUCUCAACGACUAUAAUAACAUGUAUGUUUACAGUUACGAUAAACCCCCUGAUAAGAUAUCUGGGAUCAGAUUAGAAAUACUUCAGCAACAUGAGAAAAAUAUCUCAAUUAUAAUGGGUCUAGUUUGUCUUGAGAAUAUUCUGGGGGUAACUUGAUCCUUAUGAUAGGUAUCUAGAGGCAUCUGAAUGAGGAGCUACGAGAUAUGGUUUAGUAGCUUGUGGUAGCAAUGGUAAUGGGAGGAUGGUUGGACUAGAUGAUCUUGUAGGUCCUUUCCAACCUUGUGAUUCUAUGAUUUAAGGCUUGCCAACAGAGUUUGUGUUGGUCUCUGCCUGGAAUUACAUUCUCUCAAAGGAAAAUGCCAUAUUUGUUGGGCCACGCUAUCAGGGACCUUCUUGGUGAUCUUGAUGUGAAGCAGCUCAAACUUCACCACCACCACUGACAACAAUGUUGCCAUUCAGGCCAAAUCAAUGGCAUUAUGAUGGUUCUAUCCAAAACCGUUCUUUGAGAACAACAGAAAAACUAUUUUUUCUGGGUGUGGUCCACAGCAGCAUUGAUGGGAAACAAUCACUUUUUGAUGAAGAACACCUUAAAAGGUGCAAUGAUUGACAAAUCUAGCAAGUUGUCCUCCCCAAGACAGCGCAGUAUGGACCAAGCAGGAGUCUGGAGUACAACAAAGUUAAAGCACAAAUCCUGCAGGUGACCAGUAAGAAUGCCGAAAGUGAUAAAGGACCGUUUGAGGCAACAGCAAUGCCAGAAACUGGAUAUGUCUAAAAAUAAAAACAUUGUGCUGUUAUAAACAGGGUGUUUUACAGGACAGAAACGGCAUAUGCCCUUCAUCUAAAGACUGCUAUUUAUUUAUUUAUUUACCUUCAAGAGCUGCAACAGGCUUUGAGCAACAGAGGAGCAAGCGUCUGUUCAAGGAGGUUGAAAAGAAACCUUUGGAACAGAAAGAGCCUGGCUCCCGCAUGUUUCUUUGCCACCCUUUACAUGUGGAAAGGUCAGGAUCACAAGUCUCUGCAAGCUGACCCUGCGUAUUUCAGCUGCAAUCUUAUUUGGGAUUGUGAGGCUCUAUUGCUGGUUCCUAGGAGCACUGGCAAGUGAACAAGGUGUGCUUCUCACCGCACAGUCAUUUGUCACAACCCCAACAUGCUGUGGUUUGCAGGUGUAUGGUUUUGAGGAUGAAAUGGACUAGCAGUGCCUUCUACUACAGAGCCCAUGUUCCUUCUCUUGACACAGCAGUUCUUCGUGCUGCUUUUUUGGCUUGUGGUCCAUCCUAGUCCCCUUUACUCUAGGAAGCUUAUGUCUUCCUGUCUAUACUACUUCUAACUAUGCUAUGGGAAGCUCAAGAUAGCAAACACAGGCACUAUCAUUAAUUCCAAUCACUGUUUAUUAAAUUGAAAAAAAAAACAAAAAAACAAAAGCAUGCAGAAAUGCAUACCAAAACAGACCUUCAUCUCCAUCCUCUACAACCUGUUGGAGGGGUUUUCAUCAAUCAAACACUGCAUCUCUGGCGAGACAUCAAGAGUGAUAAGUUUGAACUCCUGCUCAGCAAAGUGAAUCCACACUUUUUACUUGCUAUGUUUCCUGAGAGAGCAGGCUUCCUGGAUGUUACACAGAAUCACUGACGUUGUGGCAUCGGACUCUACCUUUGCCCAUACCUUCAGCCUGCAUUAUCCAUAGUAAUGUCAAGGGGACUUUUACUAGCUUAGGUAAAUAAAUUCUUUCUCUUGACUUAGUUUGAUGUGGAUCAGUCUCUCUGUCCAGUACAAUGGUCAACAAUGCAGCCAGCCCCUGCUUGUCAUGCCUAACUGGACAGAGACACAAGUCUAUGGAAACUAUAUUUUCCAUUUUUAUUUCCAUCUUAUUUGGGGUCAUUCUCCCCCAUGCAACACUGAUAGGUGCUUGGGAGGCUGUGCAUCUUGCUAGGCAAACUACAGAUCCCCAUGGAUGUUUUACCAGUACCAGCUUUAAGAGGAGUAAGAGAUCAUCCUUGAUAAUGUCCUCCCUCACCAAGAAAGAACAACGUGAAGCUGAUCAUAGGUGCAUAUGUCUGUGUAAUGGCUUUAAAGAAAUGGGUAAAUCCCAUGAAAGUGAUGUUUACUACUGCUUCAUCCUACAUUAGCAGGUAGUAUAGGCUGAGCAUGGCUAUACAUGGCAUAAUCUCAGUGGUGGCUAUUGCCAGCAUCCCAGUAGCACAACCAGCCCUGAUUGUUCCUGCACAUCCCCUUGGGGCUCCCACAGAAAAAUAAUAAUAAUAAUAAUACAGGAGCUUAUCACAGUGCAGAGAUGGGAGUGGAGGAGAACAGAAGCAUGCAAGCAGCAGUAUUAUCCAGAGGGAUGCGCACCUCCCCAUGGGAAGCCCAAGGGCAGCUGAGCUGUGCACCUAGCCUAGCUGUGCAAAGGCUCACCGUCACUUCCCUGCCACGUGGCUGGCAAUGAGUGGUCCCAAGUGGUUUAUACUUAGAGAAUCCCCUCUUUGCAUUGGGAUGGUCUUGUUUUCAGUCCCAAAAUGCCCUGCAAAAUGAAUGAAUUGUUGUUUUCUAGCCAGCCUGAGUAGGAAACAUGGCUCACACAGUUGCUGGGAACUGGAAGAAACAUCCUGGUCUGCAGAGCAUAAAUUAGGAAAAUGCAUUCUUAUUCUCGUGGAUAUUCCUUGAGAAAAAGCCAACAGUGGGAGUGUGUUAGAGUGGUAAAAUACAAUUCAUGACAACAGUCCCACUGAGAGGAGGAUUUUUUUUUUUUUCCUUUAGUUGCUUCUAAUUGUGGUAAGGAGCAAACGCAUUCCUCUUUAAUUUCCAUUGGCAAGGUCUCCGGGACUGUGCGAGUGCCAAGAAGUGUGCUGUGGCUGGCUUUGCAUUUCCUCCUCUCUUCUUCCCCUCCUCCACCCCUCCCUCAUCUUAUGGGUAUUACAGCCAAUCCCUCUGCAAAUACCUUUUUCGCAGGCAAUGUAAGCACUCUCCCUCUUGUUUUUCUCCCUUCGAAACUCUGCUCUAUCUCUUUUGGCCAGCUGCAGCCUUCCUAGAGCAUCUUCUACCUGACAAAAGAAGAUACCUUUGAUAGUCAGACAUGAUGGUAAAGUUGAAACACAUGCUUGGUUCAGAUACCAAUGAACUUUAAUUUACCUCAAUUCAUUAGCAAUUUUUAAAACCACAGUUAAUGGAAGGCAGCCUGUAAAAUAAUUGGAAGUAAAUGAUGAAGGAGAAACUCUGGGGGGAGGAAGGAAGGGAAGCGGCUUACAGCAGGAGUCUAAGCCAGGCUUUCAUCUUCAGGGCAGUCCGGUUUUGAACCCUGAUGGGAAAGGUCAUGAAUUUUAAAAUGUGUCUCGCAGCAGACAGCUCUAAUCAUAAAGCUAACACUAUCUGCAGUGCAUGUCUGACCAUGUGAGACUCGCGGCUGACUGAAGGAGGCUGACUUUCAAGGGGAGGAUGCUGCUUUGAGCAGGAAGGUGUGGGAUAAGCAGAACCGAUGCCGUAUCUGUCAGUGCCAGAAUGAAGCACUGGGCUGCUGGGUCAGGGGAAAACAUGCCACUCUCAGCAGGGCUCGCAGCAGCAGCAGGACCACGUAGCACCUUGUGCUCUUCUCUGGGCUCCUUGAGAACCCAGCGUUUCCCCUUCUUGCAUGUCACUUAGGAAGUGUAACAUCUUACUGCUUUAGCUUGCCAUUCGCAUCUUCAGUUUUAAUACAGUUUCCAGCCUAUUGCAUGCAAAAGCUGGAAUGCUCUCUACUGCUAUCCUGGGAAUCGUUGCUCUGCCAUUUGCCAGGCUGUGUUUGAAAUCAAGGGAUGCUAAUGUUUUGGCAACACCUUACAGUGCCUCUGACAAAAGAGUUGUGGUUGGUGUCUAUCUCAGUCUUAAUUGUUUUCUUAAUUGGAUGCUGCUGAGGCUCAGACAGUUAUUUGUAGGAUGUGAGAAAACACUUGAUUCUCUCUCUGACUUCAUCUGCAUUUUCCAAAAUCCUUCCACUGUUCAUCUACCACAUCUUGGGCUCUGCUCUUCCUAGCAUGUAUGGAAGCGUAGUCCAGUGGUGUUAAUCACCACGUGGUGUCUAGACAUGCUGAAAACACUUAGGCAACUGUGACAUCUGUUUGGGCAGCCAAUGUUGUUGGGAAACUUGACCCUAUUUAUGAACAGUUUUUAAAACCAAGUUUCGGUCAUGACAAGAUAAUAAAUGCAAAGUGUCUUUACAUACUGUGAUCAGAGCUUCAUGGUCAACGUGCUCUCACAGGAGGGGUGGUCUUGCUCUGAAAGGAAGGGUAACACUCGGGGCAUAUGUGUUCAAUUUUUAGGUCUGGCACAAACUUCAUGUCUGACCUUCGCAAAGGUGUGUGCUUUCUUUGUGUCUGGAAUAAAUGGUGAUGGUAAUACCUGGGAUCAGACUGAUUAUGGGACUCUUCAGAUUGCGCCAGCUAAUUUGAUUGUUACCAAAAUAAAGUCCCCGUGAUCUCACCAGAAUUCAAUGCCCCAUUUUCUAGAUCUAGCAGUCUGUGAACAAGAGCUGGAGCCAGGCUGGAAUGUCUUUUGGUUCUGCAGCAACAGAAAACUCCAAGUCAGGGAUUAUUUUUAGUGUGCAACUGCUAGGUUUUUCAGUGUAUGAUGCGGAGCAGAAUUUUCAAGAGCAUCUGGUCCUUUGCUGUUAAUUGUUUACUUUGCUCCUGAAUAUGAGAUCUGGGGCUCUGAUGGAGGAUCUCUGGUAAAUUUAACUGUUAACUGUUAACGUUAUCUCCUCCAGCACCUCUGCCAAAAAUUACUGCCUACUAGCAGGGGUGCAGAGCAAAAAGGUACAGAGAGGAGCAGCAAACCUGGUGGAGACGGUGCCAUGCUCUUUUCUAUUACCCAUCCUCCAAUGGUUUGUUUCACCAUGGAAAAAACCUAGGGAUUCACUCAGGUGUGAGCUUCUCCCAUGCUGUGUCUGGCAAGCAGUUAGUGACUUGAGAAUGAUGGUUCUUUGCUUGAUAUGCAGACUUCCCCACAGCUCACUGUAAAAGAGAGCUGAGGGACAGCAGGAUCCACUAGAGGUGAUAUGGGAAGCCCUAGCUAUGCAGCGCCAGGAAAAUGUCAACAACCAGGUACCAGGGGCCCCUAAGUGGGGCUAACCCCGUGCCCCCAGGCAAGGCUCAGUUUACAUUCACAUCUCCCCUUGGUGACACGCCAGUGCGUUUCCGAGGAACACACAGCUCUGAAGGGGCUGCUGCCAGAGUAAGCUUCUCCACUCAUCUCACAUCUGACUUGUAAUUUCAGUGGCCGUGUUUUUUAUGGUGGGGUCUCCAGCAGUACAAAAGUAUUACAAGGUAUUUAUUUGCCAAGCCUUUUCUGCUGUGUUUCAGCCUCUCCUCUCCCCCUUCCCUGUCUUAUCGCUGGUGGAAGCGGGUGUAAAGUCCUUUGAACGAAGACAUCAAAGGACAAUUGCAUCUCUGUUCUUUAACCAGACUUAUAAAGAGAUUGUGAUAAAGGACAACAAUACAUGUCAGUGUUGCCCAGUUAUUGUUCUGUGCUUUGUAGUUUUAUUAGGAAAUAAUUUCUCACCCUGUGUGGCUCCUGGUGAGUUUUGUUUCUGUGUUGCUGGAUUUGAUCUGCCCACUGAAAGGCCUGCCACAGAACUGAGAGUUUUGCCAGCUGUGAGUUAAGAGGGAGACAUUAUUGAAAAAGUUCAAGCUCUGCUUCCUAGCAGCCAAUUUACCAUCUGUCUCCCUCUCCCUCACGCCCCUUUUAUAGCAAAAAUGCAAACAAUUUGUUUGACCUCUGCUGAAUCUGUAGAACUCUGGGCUUUUAAAGUGUUGAUUUAACAAAUAAAAACUGAACGUGACAGCAGCAACAACCUCAAAUUCAAAGCCAAUAAACCCAGGUAACAGCAAGGCUUGUUACAAGAGACAGUAAAAGCCUAUGAAAGGCUUUCUUCUUUAUAAAUAUAUCCCUCCUCCUCCCCGUACCCCACCUUUUGGAAAAUCUACAAAUGAAGUUGAAUCUUGACCACUACAGUGUGUGGCUGAAAAUUUGCCCCUCCUCCAGGAUAACAGAGGGAGUAAAGCCCUCGAAAGUCAAGUUAGACCACUGUGGAAAGACUGUUCUGAGCCUGCCUGACUUGGGUUUGCAUCCGUGGCUUCAGACAGAGUUGAUUAUCCAUAUGAGGACGAAGGGAGUUGUGGACAGGUAAUUCCUAGCACUCCCCCACCUCCAAUCUCCUGGCAUCAUGCCCCAGCUCUGAUCUUGCACAGCUCUAGUGCUCAUGAGACACCCUUACAAACUGGUUCAGUUCAGUGACCCACCUCUCAGCUGGGUUAGUGAGCUGAGCCUGCUCACAGAGGGCUCUGGUGGGCACCGGAGCUGGUGCAAUGAGAGGGCAGAGGGAGAAGUGGGAUCUCUCCUGGUGAUGCUGAGCCUCUAGCCUGGCUCGGCUGUGUGAGGAACGGCAGCUGACUGUCACAUUAUGAAAUUGUUGCACAAAUGGUGUGAUUGCCAGCGUAUGAUAAUAGUGCUGUCUGUCUCAUAAAGAGACUUUUUCAGAAGCAUUGUUGAUGCUGGUAUAAAUUGGCACGGCUUCAAUCAGUGUGUCAUUUGUCUGGUAGACUAUGAAAUGCUCUUGCAAAACCAGCCUGUGUUUCAAGACUUGUCUCAAUCGUAUUGACCCUAAUGAAAAUCCAAGCUACUAAAUGACUCAUUCCUGUUGUCCUUCACCCUGAAAUAGGUACUCAUACCCACAAUCCACAUCACUGAAAAUCUGUUAGAAAAAAAUCACACUUCAGGAUUGCAUGCUUCAAACAAAGCCUAUGAAGUCCCCAUUCCAGCCUGCUGAAGCAGCCCUUGCUUCUCAAACAAAUUUCUUUAGGAAGAGAUGAGAGCUGGUGAGAAAAUCACCUCCGUGCUCCUGUGUUUUAGUGAGGAUGGAAAAGGGCAGCAUGACAUUCUUGCACAAAGCAUUUUCUCUUUCAGCGUAUCUUAAGUAGAUUGGAAUAAGAAAAGAAAGCCUUUUCUUGGGUUACUGAAGCUACAAAGCUGUCAUAUAAUUGGGGACCAUCUUGGACAAAUAAUGGGGUGGCAGAGUGUUGGGGGAGGAAGGGAGAAGAAAAGGGUUUAGUGUGAAAAUGAAUCUCACAAACGAAGAUGGACUUAACCUGUUAAGUAGCCUUGAAACCUGAGCUGAGAUGCUAAUCCUCUCAGGACAAAGCUGAAUCCUGCUUUUGGGGGUGUGAGGGUGACCUUAUACCUGCUUUGAGAAUGUGGAAAAACCCUUUCUAAAAGCUGGGAAUGGAGGCUUUCUAUUGUCUAGGAAGUAUCUUGUUUAUCACAGAAUGGUAUUCUUUCCCAUCUUGACGUUCUUUGGUAUUUGAGUUUUGAAUGAAGUGUAAAUACUGUCAGUAAAAAAGAAUUAGGAGAGAAACAAAACAAAAGAAAAUUGGAGCAAGAGAUGCUGUAAACAAAGAGGAGAACAAACAUUUUUGCUAUGUAAGGCUGCCACAUUGCUGAGUGGCUGCCUGAGAUGUAAGGAGGAAAUUCUUUCACUCUGGUUAGGGGAGGGCAGCAGAUAGACUGUGUUUGAGGAUAUAGUGAGGAUGAAGCAACCCAAAAUCUUAAAAAAUAUUUUCUUCAUAGUGGCGGGAAAGGCUGUAACAGUUGAAGACUUCUGAGGUCAGGUACCACCAGAGAAAGACACCAAGGUAUCAGUGAAACCACUUGGAGGUACAGAGCAUGCAGGUUGGUUGAUAAGGAGAAGAAUGGAUGGUGAAGAAGCCAGUGGACUGGACGAGCUUGAUGUCUAGGUUUAUGUGAAUUUUGAAUCUUUUUUGGUCACGCACUUUCUGCUUGAAACAUAAGCUCAGGCUCAGUGUUCUCUACCUGACAGUAAUAGGUCUAAAAAGUUCCCACUAUUCUGCUCCACCUUUUACUGUACCGGCGCCAAGGCCUGCCCAGCUACAGAAAUCUUUAGGAUUAGCCUGUGUAUUAUUUUCAUGGAUUAUAUUUCUUUCUUUCUUCUGAUCUUACACUGCAAGCAUUGUUUUUUCUAGCAAUGGCAGGGAGGCAUCUGAAGGGAUGUGUGUGUGGUACUGCCAGUCAGCCAGGCUUGCUCCUGGGCUUCAGAGCAGCUGUGUGGGACAGAGAGCAGUGCUGGCCAGGCAAUCCAGCUCAUGAAUUCUCUGCCAGCCUCCUGCGUGGUAUCCGUAGUCCAGGUCAAGUUCCAGGAAGGUUGCUAGAACCUCUGUGUAAAUAUUAAGGCAAGCCAAAGGGACAACGUGAAAUAUCACUGCUCUCAUCUGAUGGGAGCUGAUACUUGGUGCUCAGGCAACUUCCCCAAGAUAGGGAGCUGGACAUACAGCUGCAGCAGAAGUCUCAGCUGACUUCAGUCUCAGUCUGACUUACAGUCUCCAUUUAUCUCCCACUGUCUGUAUUUUGUUAUACAAACUAAAUGUGUUGAAAAGCCACAUCAGCAAUUUAAUCAAGAGUGUUGCAUGAGAUCUCACCCUAUACUUCCAAGUCACAAGCAGGCGUCCCUUGCAUUUUCAUUUUUAUGACACCAAGUUGGGAGGUAGUGUUGAUCUGCCUGAGGGUAGGGAGGCCCUUCAGAGGGAUCUGGGUAGGUUAGGUUGCUGGGCUGAGGUGAAUGUGAUGAGGUUCAGCA